GGCUUUUUUUCCCCCCCCCCCCCCCCCCCCCCCCCCCCCCACACGCAAGCAAAUAAACACCUGUUACGCAUAUCAUAUAACAGCUUUGAAAGACACUGCACCUGAAAAGCGUCUAAGAAUUAGAAUAUACCUGGCUCUGUCACCGUAAACGAUACGAAUUUGGAAAAUCAUUAUUUUCCACAAAACAGACAUAUUAUACAUGUUUCAAACACUCAUUAAUAAUUCAUAAGUUUAUUGGCAAAUCAUGUCAACCAUAAUAUGUCACGUGCAGUGGCUUUAAACCACUCCUAAUUAGUAUUCCUUAUAUAAAGAAUAUUAGUAAGGCAGUAUCUAUUGCAAGUCAUGUCCUCAUUAGUAUUCUUGAAUUUGUAAUCGUGUUUGAAGCUGUUUAAUAAACUCGCAGGACGUGUUUUAUUAGGUCUAAACUAAAUUUCGUCUAAACGUCUUUAAACCUAAUAAAACACUCUCUAUGUUGGUUUUUACACGCGUCUGUUAGUACAAAUUAUAGCGAAAGUGAAACCUUCGAGAGUUAUUAUUUUUGAAACAAAAAACCCCCUGUAAUUUCCUAAAAAUAAUUUGACCUUUGGCUUUGGUCCUUCUAUGCAGUGGCGGCGCCACGGGGAGGACUGGGGAGGACACGUCCUCCCCAGUUCUCUUCAAGGUCGAUUUUCUAAUUUGUCCAAAUCCGGUGAGAAAUUUUUUUUGGGGGGGGGGGGUACGUUUGUGACAUCAGUCCAGUUAUUUAGAUAUAACUUAAUAAAUUCAGUCUUUAUUGUGUGAAUAAAAACCGGUAUUAAAAGAUCUUCGCUUUACUUUUGACAAAAGACCAUUUCAUAUAUGCGGCAUUUACCAUUAGCAUAUUGCAGGCACUGAUUACGACCGCCGAAGGAAACCCAUCAUAAUGGGUUAACAUAUUACCCAAAUUAAGUGCAAUAGGUAAUGUGUGAUGCGGAAGUUUGGUCCUGUUGCUGAGAUGUGAGGGAAAUAUGUUAAUUAAUGCACUGUUCGCGCAACAUAUGGUCAUUAGCUUCUUGGAAUGCAUCACUACACAACUGAAAGAGAAAAAUGUUCGAAGGAAGAGAUCCAUCAAGUGAAAUUGUGUGUGAGGGAGGCAAAUAGAACCUUCGUUUUCGAAUCUUGACGGUUAGACUCUGACGGUUAGACCUAUCUUAGAUUUUUCAACAUCGGAAAUAUCGAUGAGAAAGUUUACAUUCCAAAAGAAAUGGUACGAAGAGUACAUAUAUAUGACUGGAAUAUUCAAUGUAACAACUGCAAGAUUACAUACGAGCAUCAUAGCAGCGAAGAGAUGGAAAGGAAAGAGUCUAGAGAAAGGGUCCAAAAGAAAGUUUCCACCUUGGAUUUGCUUGCCCUCCUUGCUCGAAGUUUUCAGCAAAGAUGAUCUACACCACCUUCAUCCCGACUUGUUUGAGGUCGCUACCUUGCCUGUGACAGUGGCAUCACGUGAACGCACACACAGCAAGGUCAAAAUAAUAAACAAUAAUUUGCGAGUUGCUAUGUCACCUGAUAGACUCGAGGACCUUGUCCAGAUUAGCAACGAACGAGAUCUAGCCAACAAUAUUGAACUUAGCAAAUUAGUGGAAAUAUUUAAGCUUGCAAAACCUCAUAAGCUUGUCAUGCAAGGAGAUCUACGAUAACAUAUAGCCAUUAUUAUUCUACCUAACAGUUAUUUUCAUUUGUAUUUAAAUAUAAAAUAAUGUUGACUUCAAUUUUCCUGGAAGUAGCAAUUCC